rnacentral:rRNA from 1 species
UACGUAGGGGGCGAGCGUUGUCCGGAUUUAUUGGGCGUAAAGAGCUCGUAGGCGGCUUGGCAAGUCGGGUGUGAAACCUCCAGGCUCAACCUGGAGACGCCACUCGAUACUGCCAUGGCUAGAGUCCGGUAGGGGACCACGGAAUUCCUGGUGUAGCGGUGAAAUGCGCAGAUAUCAGGAGGAACACCGAUGGCGAAGGCAGGUCUCUGGGCAUUAACUGACGCUGAGGAGCGAAAGCAUGGGGAGCGAACAGG